CACUUAUACAAACAGAAAACGAACCAAACUGUUUAAAAACCUUGAACAACAUUCAAACACCUCGCGUCUCUCUCUCGCGUCUGCGACUUACUUGCUUCUUUUAAGCACAGCCUCGUCAGACAAACACGAAACAGCUGCGCCACGCCCCCAGGAGUACCGCUGCAGAGAGACUUUUGGAGCGAGCUGCGCCGGGACAGAGCCGCGGAACGUUGCGGGAUUUGGGGAAGGAGUGGCGCCGUGCAGGACCGGGCUGGUCCUAAGGACGCUGCGCUGUUUCCCUGGAACAACAUUGCGAGGGGAGACGGCAGGACCUGUCGAGGGCGGAGAGUUCCGUCUCCCGCUCUGCAGAACACUAAGGCGAUAUCCAGCAUCGGGGCCGGCGCCGACUCGCUUCCCAGCGGCUAGAUGGUGACCCAAUCCAGUUAAAAGAUGAGGGGAAUAAAUGCUUCCAGGCGGGUGAAGUUGACAAGGCCAUUGAAUGUUACACCAACGCCAUGAAGACCUGCAAGGACAAUAAUGUGCUGGCUGUGCUUAAAAGAAGCAACGGUCUUCCGAGGUUGCGGUGGUUGCCGUAGCUGCGAACCCGGACAGUAGUACCGCUGCACAGAGAGACUUUUGGAGCGAGCUGCGCCGGGGCAGAGCCGCGGAACGUUGCGGGAUUUGGGGAAGGAGUGGCGCCGUGCAGGACCGGGCUGGUCCUAAGGACGCUGCGCUGUUUCCCUGGAACAACAUUGCGAGGGGAGACGGCAGGACCUGUCGAGGGCGGAGAGUUCCGUCUCCCGCUCUUCAGAACACUAAGGCGAUAUCCAGCACCGGGGCCAGCGCCCACUCGCUUCCCAGCGGCUAGGCGCAGCCGGGGCUCCUUACACGGAACUUUGUGCAACUUCUCUGUGGGGGAAGGGGGUGCCUAGUAGUUGGGUGGGUUCGGCAUAGAAAAUAAUAGGACCGUGGAGGGGGCGGGAGUCAGCUGGUGCUGACAAUUUUACAGACCCGUAUACAUGUAAACAGACUUACUGACAAGGACCUGUGUGAGACAUGUGGCUGUUCCCCUCCACCACCCGCUCCCCUUUUGAAAAUUGAGCAGAAACUUGCGAGAUUUGUGCCAAAGUAAAAAAUAUUAAAUAAAUAAAAAAACUGUAAUAACCAAACUGUCACCAUGGCCAAAACAUUGAGUAAUCAUACUUGUUACUUCCUAAAUUAGGUCUUUUGAGGUUUUCAUUCAGUGUCAGGGUUGAUGAGGGAAGUUUUUGAAUUACUUUUUAAAGCAUUUGUUAAAUCCAACCACUGUGCUGGGUAAACAAUACACCACAUUGAACUGAAGAGAAACCAGACAAGAGGGGACACAAACCCCCACACUGAAGAGAAGGCCACACCACAGGC